rnacentral:rRNA from 1 species
UCUCGAGCGUAUCGGAGCGCGCCGCAAGCGCACAGCGAUGCCCUCAGUCGAGUUCCGCCCGAGUUGCCCGGGGUGCUUGCUUUUGUAGCGCUUUGGGGCGAGGCGUCUGUUGCCGGCGCCAUGGUUAAGGCGCAGCCUCUCGCUUGCCUCUUCGCGCCAGCGGUUGGCCUGCUUGUAGAAGAACGCCUUAGCUCUGCUCAGGCGGAUAGCCAUUAGGCAGACCGCCCGCGCUGAACGUCCUUCAUGAGUUCGACGAAGACAUGCGCUUGUCGCUCUUUGACUGAGAGGACAGUCCAGUUUGCCUGGCCGCUGAUCGCGGACAGCACGUCCCCUGGGGAUCGGACUGUGACGUUGGUGAACUCAGUGGCGGCCAGCACGAACAGCGCGGUGAGCUGGUC